UACGGAGGAUGCGAGCGUUAUCCGGAUUUAUUGGGUUUAAAGGGUGCGUAGGCGGACGCUUAAGUCAGCGGUAAAAUUGCGGGGCUCAACCUCGUCGAGCCGUUGAAACUGGGUGCCUAGAGUGGGCGAGAAGUGCGCGGAAUGCGUGGUAUAGCGGUGAAAUGCAUAGAUAUCACGCAGAACUCCGAUUGCGAAGGCAGCGCACCGGCGCCCUACUGACGCUCAGGCACGAAAGCGUGGGUAUCGAACAGG
rnacentral:rRNA from 1 species